rnacentral:rRNA from 1 species
GACGAAGGAUUCAAGCGUUGUCCGGAUUUACUGGGUUUAAAGGGUGUGUAGGCGGUUGUUUAAGUUUGGUGUGAAAUCUCCCGGCUCAACUGGGAGGGUGCGCCGAAUACUGAAUGACUAGAGUGUGGGAGAGGUGAGUGGAAUUCCUGGUGUAGCGGUGAAAUGCGUAGAUAUCAGGAGGAACACCGGUGGUGUAGACGGCUCACUGGACCAUAACUGACGCUGAGACACGAAAGCGUGGGUAGCAAACAGG